rnacentral:rRNA from 1 species
GCUCAUAUUGAACGCUGGCGGCAGGCCUAACACAUGCAAGUCGAGCGGUAGCACAGAGAGCUUGCUCUCGGGUGACGAGCGGCGGACGGGUGAGUAAUGUCUGGGAAACUGCCUGAUGGAGGGGGAUAACUACUGGAAACGGUAGCUAAUACCGCAUAAUGUCGCAAGACCAAAGUGGGGGACCUUCGGGCCUCAUGCCAUCAGAUGUGCCCAGAUGGGAUUAGCUAGUAGGUGGGGUAACGGCUCACCUAGGCGACGAUCCCUAGCUGGUCUGAGAGGAUGACCAGCCACACUGGAACUGAGACACGGUCCAGACUCCUACGGGAGGCAGCAGUGGGGAAUAUUGCACAAUGGGCGCAAGCCUGAUGCAGCCAUGCCGCGUGUGUGAAGAAGGCCUUCGGGUUGUAAAGCACUUUCAGCGGGGAGGAAGGCGGUGAGGUUAAUAACCUCAUCGAUUGACGUUACCCGCAGAAGAAGCACCGGCUAACUCCGUGCCAGCAGCCGCGGUAAUACGGAGGGUGCAAGCGUUAAUCGGAAUUACUGGGCGUAAAGCGCACGCAGGCGGUCUGUCAAGUCGGAUGUGAAAUCCCCGGGCUCAACCUGGGAACUGCAUUCGAAACUGGCAGGCUAGAGUCUUGUAGAGGGGGGUAGAAUUCCAGGUGUAGCGGUGAAAUGCGUAGAGAUCUGGAGGAAUACCGGUGGCGAAGGCGGCCCCCUGGACAAAGACUGACGCUCAGGUGCGAAAGCGUGGGGAGCAAACAGGAUUAGAUACCCUGGUAGUCCACGCCGUAAACGAUGUCGAUUUGGAGGUUGUGCCCUUGAGGCGUGGCUUCCGGAGCUAACGCGUUAAAUCGACCGCCUGGGGAGUACGGCCGCAAGGUUAAAACUCAAAUGAAUUGACGGGGGCCCGCACAAGCGGUGGAGCAUGUGGUUUAAUUCGAUGCAACGCGAAGAACCUUACCUGGUCUUGACAUCCACAGAACUUUCCAGAGAUGGAUUGGUGCCUUCGGGAACUGUGAGACAGGUGCUGCAUGGCUGUCGUCAGCUCGUGUUGUGAAAUGUUGGGUUAAGUCCCGCAACGAGCGCAACCCUUAUCCUUUGUUGCCAGCGGUUAGGCCGGGAACUCAAAGGAGACUGCCAGUGAUAAACUGGAGGAAGGUGGGGAUGACGUCAAGUCAUCAUGGCCCUUACGACCAGGGCUACACACGUGCUACAAUGGCAUAUACAAAGAGAAGCGACCUCGCGAGAGCAAGCGGACCUCAUAAAGUAUGUCGUAGUCCGGAUUGGAGUCUGCAACUCGACUCCAUGAAGUCGGAAUCGCUAGUAAUCGUAGAUCAGAAUGCUACGGUGAAUACGUUCCCGGGCCUUGUACACACCGCCCGUCACACCAUGGGAGUGGGUUGCAAAAGAAGUAGGUAGCUUAACCUUCGGGAGGGCGCUUACCACUUUGUGAUUCAUGACUGGGGUGAAGUCGUAACAAGGU